GCGAGCGUUAAUCGGAAUUACUGGGCGUAAAGCGCACGCAGGCGGUCUGUUAAGCUAGAUGUGAAAGCCCCGCGCUCAACGUGGGAGGGUCAUUUAGAACUGGCAGACUAGAGUCUUGGAGAGGGGAGUGGAAUUCCAGGUGUAGCGGUGAAAUGCGUAGAGAUCUGGAGGAACAUCAAUGGCGAAGGCAACUCCCUGGCCAAAGACUGACGCUCAUGGACGAAAGCCAGGGGAGCGAAAGGGAUUAGAUACCCCUGUAGUCCUGGCCGUAAACGAUGAACACUAGGUGUCGGGGGAAUCGACCCCCUCGGUGUCGUAGCCAACGCGUUAAGUGUUCCGCCUGGGGAGUACGCACGCAAGUGUGAAACUCAAAGGAAUUGACGGGGGCCCGCACAAGCGGUGGAGUAUGUGGUUUAAUUCGAUGCAACGCGAAGAACCUUACCAGGGCUUGACAUCCUGCGAACCUCUGGGAAACCGGAGGGUGCCUUCGGGAACGCAGUGACAGGUGGUGCAUGGCU
rnacentral:rRNA from 1 species